AACGAACGCUGGCGGCAUGCCUAACACAUGCAAGUCGAACGAAAAGAUCGGGACUAGGGGCGCACGGGUGCGUAACGGGAGGGAAGAUGAACAUAGGGACGGAAUAACUCCACGAAAGGGGUGAUAAUACCGGACAAUGGCUUCGAACCGAAGAUAUAUCGCACUUGGAGGGGCCAGCGUUGGUUUAGCUAGUUGGUAGGGUAAAAGCCUCCCAAGGGGACGAUCAACAGCUUGUCUGUGAGGAGGGUCAGCCACACUUGGACUGAGACGCGGCCCAGACUCCUACGGGAGGCAGCAGUGGCGAAUAUUGGACCGUGGGCGGAAGCCUGAUCCAGCUCUGCCGCGUGAGCUAUGUAGGCCUUAGGGUUGUAAAGCUCUUUUACCCGGGCUGAUCUUGACAGUACCGGGAGAAUAAGCUCCGGCUAACUCCGUG
rnacentral:rRNA from 1 species